UGGGAAUAUGCACAAUGGGGGAAACCCUGAUGCAGCGACGCCGCGUGAAGGAAGAAGUAUCUCGGUAUGUAAACUUCUAUCAGCAGGGAAGAUAGUGACGGUACCUGACUAAGAAGCCCCGGCUAAUUACGUGCC
rnacentral:rRNA from 1 species